rnacentral:rRNA from 1 species
AGUGAACGCUGGCGGUAGGCCUAACACAUGCAAGUCGAACGGCAGCACAGUAAGAGCUUGCUCUUACGGGUGGCGAGUGGCGGACGGGUGAGGAAUACAUCGGAAUCUACUUUUUCGUGGGGGAUAACGUAGGGAAACUUACGCUAAUACCGCAUACGACCUACGGGUGAAAGCAGGGGAUCUUCGGACCUUGCGCGAUUGAAUGAGCCGAUGUCGGAUUAGCUAGUUGGCGGGGUAAAGGCCCACCAAGGCGACGAUCCGUAGCUGGUCUGAGAGGAUGAUCAGCCACACUGGAACUGAGACACGGUCCAGACUCCUACGGGAGGCAGCAGUGGGGAAUAUUGGACAAUGGGCGCAAGCCUGAUCCAGCCAUACCGCGUGGGUGAAGAAGGCCUUCGGGUUGUAAAGCCCUUUUGUUGGGAAAGAAAAGCAGCAGGUUAAUACCCCGCUGUUCUGACGGGACCCAAAGAAUAAGCACCGGCUAACGUCG